CAACCUCCUUACCCUAGCAUAUAAAAGGGGAUGGAUAUUUCGAUUUGGACAAACAGCUCCGAGCAGCCCGAAAAUUGAGAAGUAUGUAUGCCUUGAUGUGCGUGACCGCCUUCGGCCUUUUGGCAUUUUCUGGCCCCGUGGCCUCCCAAGUGAUCGAGCAGCGGAGCUCAGUCCGCAAUCCUGAUGGCUCAACGUCCCAAAUUCACAGCCGCUCGUAUUCUCAGGCCACGUACACCGGUGCAUCAACUGGACCUGAUGGAAUAACAGUCGGCUUCGAUUUACAUCAGGAUUCGCGCGGAAAAAUCACGGGCAACGAAUGGAAGGCCAAGGAUGGACAGAGGCUCGAAACUAAAAAGAUCGAAGAAGACGCCAGUGGCAUCGGUAGCAGAACAGCUCUUGGAAGCUUCAGCAACUUCGGACCUAAUCUUGGCAGUUUUGGACCUCACUUCGGCCCGAGCAGAUUCGGUUCCGGAUUGAGCUUCGGAACCCCCGAAGCGGGAGGCACUGGCGAUAUAGGCGGUGUUAAUACUCCUGAUGUCAGCGCCAAUGCGGGAUUCCCUAGUGGAGGCCUUCCUUGGGCGAGCUUCGGUAACUUCGGUGAUCAAUUUCGUCACUUUGCCACUCCGGGUUUCGACCAGCUUCCCCAAUACAACUUCGCCAGCUUCGGUUUCCAGCAGCCCUUAGCUAUCCCAAAUUACUCCAAGUUUCUUCUCGGAGGCGUUGGAUCAAACCCGAAUAUCGUUAGCGACGGACAUUUCGCCAACGUCAUCCCCAGAAUUGGCCUGAAUCCUGGUAUUAGAAAUGGCUUUGGAUCAAGUGGUUUUGGUGCGCCCGGUUUCAGCAGACGAUCGUACAAGCACGAAGUUGACCCUGCCACCGGUAGCAGCUCAUACAGUUACUCAGAAAGUAGCGGCCAUCAGAGUUUCUCUAACACCUAUCAUUGAGCUCGUGCAAAUACAAUCUGUGAUAUUCGCCAUUGGAGUGACGCAAAAAAAAGCACCAUUUUGUCUUUAAGGCAUUAUCAACCCUGGGUUUGCUCCACCGCUUUUUGGUGGCUACGGUUUUGGUGGCAAAGGAACUCAUAAAACUGUGGUAGGCCCAACUACAGGGAAAAGAUCCUACACCUAUACCUCGGAUGGAAGUCCUUAGGCGGAUCGAAUCAACUUUCUUUGUAGUCGUUCUGCCACGCCGAGACAUGAGGCAAUUUCCGUUACGCAACCCCAGUUCAAGAAGAACAAUAGCUUUUUUAACGACGGAAAAAGGUGUUCUUCUUCGGAGAUUGUUGUAGGAAGAUCAUUUAUUUAAUACAUACCGAUGAGCUUUAGGUGAUACAUUAAUAGACAAGGCUGAGUAAACGCUGUGAUAUACUGUGACAAAGAAUACUCUAAGAAAAAUAUUAAACAAAUCUAAUACUCUAUUUGGGUAGAUCUAGGGAAUAUCGAAAACGAGGUAAUACGAUGUCUAAUAAACCUAUCUCUCUACUCA